AGCAGCCGCGGUAAUUCCAGCUCCAAUAGCGUAUAUUAAAGUUGUUGCAGUUAAAAGCUCGUAGUUGAAUUUCGGGAUCAGUACGCCGGUCGUGCCUCUGGUAUGUACUGGUGUUACUGGUUCCUACCUUCUGACGAACUGUCAUGUCAUUAAUUUGGUGUGGCGGGGAAUCAGGACUGUUACUUUGAAAAAUUGAGUGUUUAAAGCAGGCUCGCGCUUGAAUACAUUAGCAUGGAAUAAUAAAAUAGGACGUUCGAUCCUAUUUUGUUGGUUUCUAGGAUUGACGUAAUGAUUAAUAGGGAUAGUUGGGGGCAUUAGUAUUCAAUUGUCAGAGGUGAAAUUCUUGGAUUUAUUGAAGACUAACUACUGCGAAAGCAUUUGCCAAGGAUGUUUUCAUUAAUCAAGAACGAAAGUUAGGGAUCGAAGACGAUCAGAUACCGUCGUAGUCUU
rnacentral:rRNA from 1 species